rnacentral:rRNA from 1 species
GACGAACGCUGGCGGCGUGCUUAACACAUGCAAGUCGAACGGAAAGGCCCUGCUUUUGUGGGGUGCUCGAGUGGCGAACGGGUGAGUAACACGUGAGUAACCUGCCCUUGACUGUGGGAUAACUUCAGGAAACUGGGGCUAAUAUCGGAUAGGAGCUCCUGCUGCAUGGUGGGGGUUGGAAAGUUUCGGCGGUUGGGGAUGGACUCGCGGCUUAUCAGCUUGUUGGUGGGGUAGUGGCUUACCAAGGCUUUGACGGGUAGCCGGCCUGAGAGUGUGACCGGCCACAUUGGGACUGAGAUACGGCCCAGACUCCUACGGGAGGCAGCAGUGGGGAAUAUUGCACAAUGGGCCGAAGCCGGAUGCAGCAACGCCGCGUGCGGGAUGACGGCCUUCGGGUUGUAAACCGCUUUCGCCUGUGACGAAGCGUGAGUGACGGUAAUGGGUAAAGAAGCACCGGCUAACUACGUG